rnacentral:lncRNA from 1 species
CUUGCAUCAAAAUCUCAGUAGGUAAACAUUACAUAUUUUUCAAAUAUCCAAACGAAGAUAAAAUAAUAGUAAGUUGAAAAUAUUGUUGCAAUUCUAAAUCGUCACAAUCAUGUUUGAAUAACAAUUAUAGUGUUCAUAUUAUAUUCAGAUAUAUAGUGGAAGAAGUAUCAAAUUACUCUUAAAUAAGCAUGAUAAGUGCACACGGUUGCUAUUUUUCAUAUGUAAUUAAAUAAAUAUUUGUCUUUCUGAACUACAGUGUAUUAAUCAAAUUAGAUAUGUCUGAAAAUGGCAUUUCAAAAGUUUUCAUCACAUUUGUAUAUUCAAAGAUAAAUCUAUAAAUGAGAAAGGUCAAACGUUUCCGGAAGUGAUGCAUUUGGUGUUUGUGAUAAACGUAAACAGCAUGUUUAUAUCACAAAUAUGUCGGUGCACGCAUGUCUAGAAAUUAUUGCGGUGUUUUUAUUAUUGCAAAAAUGCGACAGGGUUAUAAUCGUGAUGAUGUAAACUCCCAUUUUGAAAUUUUUCAUAUGAAUUAAAGAGAAUUUUUCCAACAUCGCAAAUAAUAAAAAUCGCAUUUUAGUCCUCGAAAUAUCAAAUGCACGCAAUAAUAUCUGAAAUUUACAGCUUCCAUGAGUUUUCCCUGAGGUAAAAAUCUAAUUAGAGUAUUUGGUAAAAUAAACGUCCAUACAUUCAAGCCAUUCAAGAAAAACUUUUUAAUUAUACAGGCAUCAGUGUUGACUGACUUUGAUUACAAUUAAUUCACAAAAAGUAAUCGAACUAAUUGCAUAAAAAGUGUUCAAGAAAAUGGAAUUAAAGAGGUAUAAGCUAUGUCAGCUGAAUUUACUUUGUUUAAUCAUAUAUAUCAGAUACGAUACAAUGGCUCAUUUGAAGCGCCCUUUCUUUGUAGUAUCCAAUUUUCCUUAGUGUAGCUAAAGUGCUGAUUUUUUUUACUUUGUACACUUGUUUGCCAGUAUAAGUAAUACAUCAUCUCGGAACGAUUUACUGCUUGACACAUUGAAUAAACACUGGUCUAUCGUUAAACAGAAUGUGAUGCCAUUUUAAUUUUUGUUAAUAUUUGUGCCACUUGGAUGAAUAGUGUCGCAUUGUCAUACAUCCCACAUUUCUUUUUACUCAUAUGUAAUAAUUUAGAAUUUAAAAUGUCAGAUUAAUUGUAAUAAGCAUUGGAGCGUGUUUUUUAAAUAUGAAAUGCAAAACAAAGUCAUGCAUUUAAAUUAUUAGAUAUAUGUGUUUUAUAUACCCGUUACGGACAUGAUAACUUACUUAUUCUGUUAUUCACUUGUUUUUCAUGUUUCAGUUAUUGAAUGAAAUUAACAAAUUUUGAGAUUAUGUCGUCUUUAAAGUUAUUUAGCUAUAAUUGAAACAGUAACGAUUGUAAUAAAAAAGUAAUGCAUUUAAUUUGAAGUGUACUUAAUUGACCGUCUAUCAGGGGUUUGAGAAAUCAUAAAAGAUUUUUUGUCCGGAAAUAACGUUAUAUUUCAAAAAUGCCCGAAUGUAUAAAGUGAUGCUAUUUAGUUAAAAUAACAAGAUUGCCUUCUGUCAUAGUGAAAAUGACUUAGAUUACAGACCUGUUGUCUUUAUCAAUAGCGCAUAUAGUGCUAAAAGUUAUGUCGCAUUUUUACGAUAAAUUUUAUUAGACACGAUUGACCAAACGAUAUAAUCGAAUACUCUGCGAAUUAAUGAAAUCGAAAAACAAAAUAUUAAACUUAGUAAAGCCCGUGUAUGACCAAAUAUGACGCAAUGUAACAGAUUUGUGUACGUUAUGUUUUUAUUUUCAUUAAAUACUGUAAAAUAUAUUGUCAUUAACAGGAAUAUGGGAAGUCAACAAUCCCUGUGUGGUAUCUGCAAAAAUGAAAACGUAACAAAACAUGCAGUCAUCUGGUGUUCCGAAUGUCAUAUGGGGCUUUGUGAAGCUUGUACAAAACACCAUAAAGAUUCCGUGACAACGUGUAACCAUGAUACUAUGCAUAUCAAAGAAUAUAGGAAUUUGAACAUGUGUAAGUUACAUAAGGAACAAUAUCAUAAGUUCUGUACGAAACAUGAUUGU